UUUUGCUUUUUUGCCGAAAUCUGAGAAAAGCCCCGGUCCCUUACUCAUUGCUUUUCUUUUAAUUUGAGAGUGGAGUAGACGCCAAAAAUGUAAAACAGAGCAGCUUAGCUGUGAAAAGGAGAGGAAAUGAAAUACAGAAUGCGACUGAUAAUCUUAUGAAAAAUCGGAAUCAACGGCUGAGAUUUGUUAUGGGUUGACCCUGUUUGCAAAUUGGUUUGUGUGUUUGAAUACUCUUCUCCUCCUACUUUUAAUGCUGAAAAUUCAAACAGCCGCACUUUGAAAUUCGUGUAUGGUUUAUUUGGCAAAACCUACUUCUGUUUCUACUUAUUUGAGAAUAGCUUUUUGAGAAAG
rnacentral:lncRNA from 1 species